rnacentral:rRNA from 1 species
UACGUAGGGGGCUAGCGUUGUCCGGAAUCAUUGGGCGUAAAGAGCGUGUAGGCGGUCCGGUAAGUCCGCUGUGAAAGUCGGGGGCUCAACCCUCGAAUGCCGGUGGAUACUGUCGGGCUAGAGUGCGGAAGAGGCGAGUGGAAUUCCUGGUGUAGCGGUGAAAUGCGCAGAUAUCAGGAAGAACACCAAUGGCGAAGGCAGCUCGCUGGGACGUUACUGACGCUGAGACGCGAAAGCGUGGGGAGCAAACAGG